rnacentral:rRNA from 1 species
UAAGAAGUUACUCAAGCGCACAUAACGGAUGCCUUGACACAAGUUACCGAUGAAGGACGUAGUAGGCUGCGAUAAGCUUCGGGGAGCUGCCAAACAAGCUUUGAACCGAAGAUAUCCGAAUGGGGAAACCCUAUCAGAGUCAUGUCUGAUAGCUCUUAUCUGAACACAUAGGAUAAGAAGCGGGAACCGGGGGAACUGAAACAUCUUAGUACCUCGAGGAAGAGAAAAUAACCAAUGAUUCCGGCAGUAGUGGCGAGCGAACCCGGAAGAGCCCAAACCUUUUAUGCUUCCGUCUAUUAAUGACGGAUAAGUUGGUAGACGAAUGUAUAACAGGGGUUGUGACACUACAAACAAUCCAUGCAGAUUACUUGAAUGCGCUUUGCGCAAGCUCGAGUCUUCUGUAUGGCUAGCAGGUGCUACCACCAGCCUGCACAAGGUAAAAAUUUGCUGCAAAGCAAAGCGAAGCGAGCAGAACAGGCUGGAAAGCCUGGCCAAAGACGGUGAUAGCCCCGUAUGCCAAGUAUUCGCAAACCUUGUAUUUGUAGGAGUCUGUUAAGGGAUUUUAUCUCUCAUACAGACUCGUAUGUCGAGUAGGUCGGGACACGAGAAACCCUGACUGAAGCUGGGACGACCACGUUCCAAGGCUAAAUAUAACUUGUGAUCGAUAGCGAACUAGUACCGCGAGGGAAAGGUAAAAAGAACCCCGGGAGGGGAGUGAAAUAGAACCUGAAAUUGUGUGCGUACAAGGAGUCGGAGCCGCGCUCUUCGUAGUCGAAGAGCUUCAACUCUGCUCAAGCUUUAAGUAAAAUAAUAUUGGCGUUCAAUCUACGCGAGAUUGCCAGACGCGCUACCUGGUAAUGGUCUAUGACUUAGAUUGAGGACUCCAUUUUUGAAUGGUUUUGAAGGGAGAGCAGCCGGACAAAAUGUAUUCCAUUUUGCCCGCGCGAUGAGAGGGAAAGUCAUUCCCUCUCAUGAGCUCAUCGCUUGCGAUGAGCGUGGUGACGGCGUGCUUUUUGUAGAACGAUCCAGCGAGUUACUGGUUAUGGCAAGCUUAAGCCAUUUGGCGGAGGCGCAGUGAAAGCGAGGGUGAAUAGCCCGACUUUAGUCAUAAUUAGUAGACCCGAAACCAGGUGACCUAACCAUGGCCAGGUUGAAGCGUAGGUAAAACUACGUGGAGGACCGAACCAGAGCAUGCUGCAAAAUGCUUGGAUGACCUGUGGUUAGCGGUGAAAUGCCAAUCGAACCUGGAGAUAGCUGGUUCUCCUCGAAAUAGCUUUAGGGCUAGCGUCGUACGGUAACUAUCUGGGGUAGAGCUCUGUU